rnacentral:tmRNA from 1 species
CGCCUUUCCCUCCGCCCCCCAAGGGCCUAUAUGACGAGGGUCCGGCUUGCCGGACUAUGGGGAUAAAGGCGCGUGCAAUAAGCGGACUGGACCCGGGUGCGAUUCCCGGCGGCUCCACCAAUUCCUCCCGUGUUAUCGACGGGAUGUGCGGGGCCGAUCAGCAUCGACAGACGUCUAAAGACGUUAGCUUUCUCUCGGCGUGGCUCACCGUACCGGGCCAUAAACUAACUGCGAACGAUAACUUCGCUCAAGAGUACGCCAUCGCCGCGUGAUGCGGCGCUGACGCGCUCGACUCUUAAAGUCCUGACGUCUUAGCCGCGUCAGGCGGGGCCCGGGAGGCGCCUGGCAACAGAAGCCUCCCACC